UGAAACCGUUCGGGGGUAAACGGACAGAGCCCGUGAAUCCGGGCGGUGGAAUUCAGGACCGACGGUCGGACCUUCGGGUUCGGUCGUCGAUUCGAUAUUUCCGUUGCCGAUCCUCAACCGAGGGUGUCGGACGUCGCGACCCGUUCGCCGCCGAUGCUGAGGAGCGCGUUUCAAGUUCGCCUGCGCGACCGUUUCGGCGAUCGCGCGACGAUGACGCGCCUCCGCUGUCCAUCGGUGCGGACGGUAGCUUUGCGCGCGGGUAUUCGACGCGGUCCUUCGUCCGGCGUCUCCGUACGUCGGACGGCGCUCGCGUCGACGCCGGUCAGCGACGAAUCUUCGGGCCU
rnacentral:rRNA from 1 species